rnacentral:rRNA from 1 species
UACGUAGGGAGCAAGCGUUGUUCGGAUUUACUGGGCGUAAAGGGCGCGUAGGCGGCGCGGUAAGUCACUUGUGAAAUCUCUGAGCUUAACUCAGAACGGCCAAGUGAUACUGCAGUGCUAGAGUGCAGAAGGGGCAAUCGGAAUUCCUGGUGUAGCGGUGAAAUGCGCAGAUAUCAGGAGGAACACCGGUGGCGAAGGAGGGUCUCUGGGCAACAACUGACGCUGAGGAGCGAAAGCGUGGGGAGCGAACAGG